GCAACACACACAGGGCAGCAACACGUCCGCAUGGAACGGCGGCCCCUGCCCCAAUGCCGGCAGAGGACACGCCGUCAGGAUGGGUGGGAACGGAGGCCCCUCGCGCGGGCCUCACCCAGAAGGGCACCCCUGAGACGCGACAUAUUGCCCGACCCGCCGGCCGAAAAGCACCCCAAGCUUGAAGGGAAGAAGCUGCCAUGCCGAGGUAACGUCUAUAUGCAACAUGGGAUUCAAACCCAUGACCCCAAGAUCAGGAGUCAGAUCCUCUAUCAACUGAGCCAGCCAGGUGCCCCUCUCAUCUCCACUUGACUGUCCAGUUCGGCACCCACCAACCACGUGAUGGUCAUAGAGCUCUUGAAAUUAUAGAUACACCGAACUGAGAUAUGCUGGGUUUGUGGCAGAUAGAAGAAUGGCCCUCCAAAGAUGUUCAAGUUUUAAUCCCCAAAACCUAGGCCUGGAACACAGAUGUGGCCACGAGAGCCGGCCCCAAACAUGCCAACAAUGAGUUGGUGGCACACUAGGAUGAAAGGAACCUGGGUCCAGGGUUGAACCAGUGAAGCAGAGCUGCUUCCCCAUCCCGGACAUCCUCCUUACUGGACUACUGAGUGACAGAGAAAUUUCUUGUCGAGUCACUGUCUUCUGGGGUCUUUUUGUUAUUGAGCAUAACCUGCUCCCUAACAGGAGAGGAAAGGAAAGAUAGUGUUAGGAUUUCUAAUAGAAUUCCCGACUUGGUCAGAAAAGGCUAAGGAGCUAGGAAAGGCCGACGGAACAACUGUCUGUCUUAAUGAUUACAGCUGCAUGAGGCUGGGGCUGGCAGAUAACAAGAUAAGCAAUUAUGCAGCCUUGUCUCCAGACAGAUAGGGCAAAGCCCCUUGAGAACUAUAAACUCCUACCCGGUUCUGGGAGCCUAGUUCAUCCAGAGCAGGACAGCAGCCGGCAAUCCUCUCCUGGACGUCUUCUUUGUACCCUGCCUUGCAGACCUGUGUCCGCUGUACUCUUCAAAAGCUGGCUCCAACAAGCUCCACAUGAAGACUUCAUGAAAAAACCCCAUUUAGUCGUUUUGUGUUAAUUAGGUUUACAAAAGAAAAAUAUUAUUUAUAAUUGCCUUCUAUUUCCUGAAGAGGGAAGGUCCUGUAACUGGAAGAACUUGCUGUUUUGCUGAACGUGGUCAUUCAUUGGGCACAGGUUUGGAUGUAGAAACUAGGAUGAAAUGCAUUCCUCUGAAUAAUGAAGGGUUGAGGAGUCUACAUAGGGCUGGUGGGGGGGCAGGAAAGCUGGAGGCUGGGAGGUAGGAUGGGGUAGGGGAUGGGAAGAGAUCCCUGUGGCAGAAGCGGAGAGUGUGUACUCUGGAGAAAGAGGUGUGUUGUAGCGGGGUUCCAGCUGCUACAGCCCACGUGACAUAAAUCACGUCUCCCCUUCAGCAAAUUCUAUCUUGUUCACUAAGAUGCUGGUAGGAGAGGGCAUAAGGGGUGUGAGCUUGAAUAAGAGGAGGAGGGGAAAACUGACACCUGGAUUACAUACAGCACAGAGAGAAGAAACAAGAGCACAGAAAGUCAGAGUCAAUGCCAAUGAUGAACAGUUAUAGAAUUGCAGACCCCUUCUGUUAGUUAUUAUUUCUAUAAUUCGAAAUUAUGUGUACUGGACUGUCUUAAUCUGAGUUACUAUUCACCCAGUAGCUACCCAAUGCCCAUUACUGGAAUAAUCAUCACUAGCACAUAUUCAUCACUUAUGAAAAUUCAGAAACAGCGUUCUUCUAGCUGAGGGUAGGCUGAAUUUAAGGAAGGCACCAGACAGGAACUGUAUUUGAGCUGGGACUUGAAGAAUGGACAGGAAUUGGUUAUGCAAAGUCUUCUCAGAGGAAGGGAACAGCACGGAUAAUCUGACCAAAGCCAAAGUCAUGCAUUUUUUCCACAUAUACUUAGCAACGUGCACUGUGUGCCAGGCACUAAGCAAGGUCCCAGGGAGGUGAAGAUGAAUUUGGCUUCACAGGCUUCUGUUAAUAUAUCCUGCUGUUUUU